UCAAGUUAUUAAGGGUGCAGGGCGGAUGCCUUGGCACUAGGAGCCGAUGAAGGACGUGAUAAGCUGCGAUAAGCUUCGGGGAGUUGCACGUAAACUUUGAUCCGAAGAUUUCCGAAUGAGGAAACUCACUUAGAGUAAUGUCUAAGUAUCAUUAAGUGAAUACAUAGCUUAAUGAGGGGAACUCAGGGAACUGAAACAUCUAAGUACCUGAAGGAAGAGAAAGAAAUUCGAUUCCGUAAGUAGCGGCGAGCGAACGCGGAUUAGCCCAAACCAAUAAAGUUUUCUUUAUUGGGGUUGCGGACAUAUCAUAACGAAGAGGUAUCGUAAUUGAAGAGGUUUGGAAAGACCCACCACAGAAGGUAAUAGUCCUGUAUGUUAAACGAGAAGACUUUAGAUAUGAUCCAGAGUACCACGGGACACGUGAAACCCUGUGGGAAGCAGGAGGGACCACCCUCCAAGGCUAAAUACUACCUAGUGACCGAUAGCGUAUAGUACCGUGAGGGAAAGGUGAAAAGAACCCCGGGAGGGGAGUGAAAUAGAACCUGAAACCCUGCACUUACAAGCUGUGGAAGCACAUUUCUUGUGUGACCGCGUACUUUUUGUAGAACGGGCCAACGAGUUACGUUAAGUAGCAAGGUUAAGCACUUAAGGUGCGGAGCCGUAGCGAAAGCGAGUUUUAACUGAGCGUUCAGUUACUUGACGUAGACCCGAAACCGGGCGACCUACCCAUGAGCAGGAUGAAGCGAAAGUAAAAUUUCGUGGAGGUCCGAACCCACGAGCGUUGAAAAGCUCGGGGAUGACUUGUGGGUAGCGGUGAAAUUCCAAUCGAGCCCGGAGAUAGCUGGUUCUCCCCGAAAUAGCUUUAGGGCUAGCCUCAAGGUGAGAGAUACGGAGGUAGAGCACUGAAUGUCCUAGGGGGUAUUGCACCUACCGAAGACUAUCAAACUCCGAAUGCCGUCAUCUUAUACUUGGGAGUCAGACUGUGGGUGAUAAGAUUCAUAGUCGAAAGGGCAACAGCCCAGAUCGUCAGCUAAGGUCCCUAAAUGUAAGUUAAGUGGUAAAGGAUGUGGGAUUGCACAGACAACCAGGAUGUUGGCUUAGAAGCAGCCACUCAUUCAAAGAGUGCGUAAUAGCUCACUGGUCGAGUGAUCCUGCGCCGAAGAUUUCCGGGGCUAAAACUUACUACCGAAGCUACGGCAUCAGUAAUGAUGGGUAGGGGAGCUUCCCAUACGGGUUGAAGCAUGACCGUAAGGACAUGUGGACAGUAUGGGAGUGAGAAUGUUGGCAUGAGUAGCGAGAUGUGGGUGAGAAUCCCACAGGCCGUAAACCCAAGGUUUCCAGGGGAAGGUUCGUCCGCCCUGGGUUAGUCGGGACCUAAGCUGAGGCCGAAAGGCGUAGGUGAUGGACAACAGGUUGAUAUUCCUGUACUACCGAUAACCGUUUGAGAGAAGGGAUGACACAGUAGGAUAAGCUAAGCACACUGUUGGUUAUGUGUGCCCAAGCAUUGAGGCAGUCAAAGUAGGCAAAUCCGCUUUGAUAAUGCUGGGAUGUGAUGGGGAGCGAAAUUUAGUAGCGAAGUAGCUGAUUUCACACUGUCAAGAAAAGUCUCUAUCGAGGUUAAAGGUACCCGUACCGCAAACCGACACAGGUGGGUGAGGAGAGUAUCCUAAGGCCAGCGAGAGAACUGUUGUUAAGGAACUCGGCAAAAUGACCCCGUAACUUAGGGAUAAGGGGUGCCACCAUCAGGUGGCCGCAGAGAAUAGGCCCAAGCGACUGUUUACCAAAAACAUAGGUUUCUGCUAAGUCGCAAGACGAUGUAUAGGAGCUGACGCCUGCCCGGUGCUGGAAGGUUAAGGGGAUCUGUUAGAGCAAUCGAAGCAGUGAACUUAAGCCCCAGUAAACGGCGGCCGUAACUAUAACGGUCCUAAGGUAGCGAAAUUCCUUGUCGGGUAAGUUCCGACCCGCACGAAAGGCGUAAUGAUUUG
rnacentral:rRNA from 1 species